rnacentral:lncRNA from 1 species
UCUUGGCGGACAGAAAUAACGAUGGAACACAUCCCAACGUGUUUCAAAUACGACUUUUCAGCGCUGAUAUCCUAAAAAGCAUUGCCGAAACGUACGAUGAAUGGCACUCAGAUAUGACGCGUGACCUUAAGACUAUUGCUGAUCAGUUAAAGCACUUGGAGGAAUUACUGAGCUCAGCCCCACGGAUCGAUUCGCCAGAAAUUGUGAUUGAUGGAACAUUGGAGCUUUCAGCUCUCCGUGAAGAUCAACUAGUCUUGAUUCAGCCCGAGGGAGACUCGUUAAAUGAUACGCGAGAGGAGGAGUUAGCUGAGGAGCUUGAGAUUGAGCUGACUGAACUUAAAAUUAUAGAAACAUUCGUGAACAAACUGGUCAACGGCGGAGGAAAAUUUAUUGUUGACGGAGACUUGUUUUUGGACCAAUUUGAGUUAAAUGCAUCGAAGAAUGCGACUUGAACAUUUUAUCGAUCACAAAUUUAAAUGGCGAGGAUUUCGAUAACCUAAUUGAUAAGACCGUUAACAUAGAUAGCUCAGGCAGUUAUGAUGCUCUCAACUUUGAGAAUAUAGCUGUCUCCCUUAAUCUUAACACGGUAUCCAUCAAUGGACACGCCGCCACAAGUCUUGUCCAUCACAGAAGAGAUACUUUGUUCAGAAAUGGUUUGCGGUUGGAUUCGAUUGCUAUCUCCGCCAGACUGAGUGUGCAGGGAAUGAUCAAUGGCAUUGAGAUGGACUCGCAAUCAGUUUUACUAGUCUCUGGCGAUCAGACUCUUAAUGAUGAAUGGAUUCUUGAUGCUAGACGAUUCCGAUUCCAAUGAAACCUCGCACUUACAACCUCUCAUGGGAACCUCAUCCAAAAGCGAAAGAGUUCCGGAAACGGCCCAGGUUCCGAAUAUGGAUGAAUUAAAAGGGCAGAUCAAACUUCUCAGUGAGCAGCUGCUUGCAAAGGAAAUGAAGAUCGAAAAUCUAACUUCUUCCGUAUCGGAACUUAGAAUAAAACUGGAGAAAUUAAAGCAAGAGCUAUUGAUUGUCAAGACGGGGACAAUAAUUGAAAAACUUGAGCAACAAUACAGCAACUCAACCGAAAAAGAGUCUCGAGCAAGUCGAUGGCUGAACAUUCUCGAAAAAUGUAAAAAUGAGAAGCCUGUGGCAUUCAUUCUAAAAGAAAUGAAUCAGAAAAACAUACCCAUGACACAAUUUAUUGUGAUUUUGAAGCGACUGUGGCGAUUUAGAAACGACAAUAUUCAUGAUGAUAUCUUGGAGCGGACUUACAGAGAAUUUUGUAAUACAUUCCGUAUGGACGCACCCGAAUGUGCCGUUUGGCUUGCAAAUGUUUUGGAGGGAGCAUACGUAAUUUUAAGGAAAGAACAGAAUGACAAACAGAUUGCCAAGGAACUAGCCUCAACCCAGACUCCAGACAACAAACCGGUAGAGAAGGUACCGUGUUACCAAUCAUAG